CCUACGGGUGGCAGCAGUGGGGAAUAUUGCACAAUGGGGGAAACCCUGAUGCAGCGACGCCGCGUGAGUGAAGAAGGAAUUCGGGAUGUAAAGCUCUAUCAGCAGGGAGGAACAUGACGGUACCUAAGUAAGAAGCCCCGGCUAACUACGUGCCAGCAGCCGCGGGAAUCCGUAGGGGGAAAGCGUUAUCCGGAUUUACUGGGGGUAAAGGGAGCGUAGACGGCAGUGCAAGUCUGGAGUGAAAGGCGGGGGCUCAACCCCCGGACUGCUCUGGAAACGGUACGGCUGGAGUGCAGGAGAGGUAAGUGGAAUUCCGAGUGUAGCGGUGAAAUGCGUAGAUAUUAGGAGGAACACCAGUGGCGAAGGCGGCUUACUGGACUGUAACUGACGUUGAGGCUCGAAAGCGUGGGGAGCAAACAGGAUUAGAUACCCUGGUAGUC
rnacentral:rRNA from 1 species